UACAGAGGGUGCAAACGUUGCUCGGAAUUAUUGGGCGUAAAGCGCGUGUAGGCGGCUUGUUAAGUCGGUUGUGAAAACCCAUGGCUCAACCAUGGAAGUGCGUCCGAAACUGGCAAGCUAGAGUCUUGACGAGGAUGGCGGAAUUCCCAGUGUAGAGGUGAAAUUCGUAGAUAUUGGGAGGAACACCAGUGGCGAAGGCGGCCAUCUGGGAAGGUACUGACGCUGAGACGCGAAAGCGUGGGGAGCAAACAGG
rnacentral:rRNA from 1 species